rnacentral:rRNA from 1 species
UACAGAGGGGGCAAGCGUUGUUCGGAAUUACUGGGCGUUAAAGGGCGCGUAGGCGGCCUGCUAAGUCGAACGUGAAAUCCCCGGGCUCAACCCGGGAACUGCGUCCGAUACUGGCAGGCUUGAAUCCGGGAGAGGGAUGUGGAAUUCCAGGUGUAGCGGUGAAAUGCGUAGAUAUCUGGAGGAACACCGGUGGCGAAGGCGGCAUCCUGGACCGGUAUUGACGCUGAUGCGCGAAAGCCAGGGGAGCAAAGCGGG